GACAAGACAAAAAAAUAGUAGAGUAGGGGCGGAUGUAGCCAAGUGGAUCAAGGCAGUGGAUUGUGAAUCCACCAUG
rnacentral:tRNA from 1 species